CGGACGGGUGAGUAACGCGUGGGUAACCUGCCUUAUACAGGGGGAUAACAGUCAGAAAUGGCUGCUAAUACCGCAUAAGCGCACAGAGCUGCAUGGCUCAGUGUGAAAAACUCCGGUGGUAUAAGAUGGACCCGCGUUGGAUUANCUUGUUGGUGGGGUAACGGCCCACCAAGGCGACGAUCCAUAGCCGGCCUGAGAGGGUGAACGGCCACAUUGGGACUGAGACACGGCCCAGACUCCUACGGGAGGCAGCAUG
rnacentral:rRNA from 1 species